rnacentral:tRNA from 1 species
GUUUAUAUAGUUUAUAAUAAAACAUUACAUUUUCAAUGUAAAAAUAAAAAUAUAUUUUUUAUAAAUU